rnacentral:rRNA from 1 species
UAUUGGGCAAUGGGGGAAACCCUGACCCAGCAACGCCGCGUGAAGGAAGAAGGCCUUCGGGUUGUAAACUUCUUUUACCAGGGACGAAGGACGUGACGGUACCUGGAGAAAAAGCCACGGCUAACUACGUGCCAGCAGCCGCGGUAAUACGUAGGUGGCAAGCGUUGUCCGGAAUUACUGGGUGUAAAGGGAGCGUAGGCGGGGAGACAAGUUGAAUGUUUAAACUAUCGGCUCAACUGAUAGUCGCGUUCAAAACUAUCACUCUUGAGUGCAGUAGAGGUAGGCGGAAUUCCUAGUGUAGCGGUGAAAUGCGUAGAUAUUAGGAGGAACACCAGUGGCGAAGGCGGCCUACUGGGCUGUAACUGACGCUGAGGCUCGAAAGCGUGGGUAGCAA